GGGCGAUUGGCGCAGUUGGCUAGCGCGCUUCCCUGACACGGAAGAGGUCAGCAGUUCAAAUCUGCUAUCGCCCA
rnacentral:tRNA from 1 species